GUGUCAGCAGCCGCGGUAAUACAGAGGGUGCAAGCGUUAAUCGGAAUUACUGGGCGUAAAGCGCGCGUAGGCGGCUAAUUAAGUCGGGUGUGAAAGCCCCGGGCUCAACCUGGGAAUUGCAUCCGAUACUGAUUGGCUAGAGUAUGAGAGAGGGAGGUAGAAUUCCACGUGUAGCGGUGAAAUGCGUAGAUAUGUGGAGGAAUACCGGUGGCGAAGGCGGCCUCCUGGCUUAAUACUGACGCUGAGGUGCGAAAGCGUGGGGAUCAAACAGGAUUAGAAACCCCCGUAGUCC
rnacentral:rRNA from 1 species